CCUACGGGAGGCAGCAGUGAGGAAUAUUGGUCAAUGGGCGCGAGCCUGAACCAGCCAAGUCGCGUGAGGGAAGACGGUCCUAUGGAUUGUAAACCUCUUUUGUCGGGGAGCAAAAGACGCCACGCGUGGCGUUCCGAGAGUACCCGAAGAAAAAGCAUCGGCUAACUCCGUGCCAGCAGCCGCGGUAAUACGGAGGAUGCGAGCGUUAUCCGGAUUUAUUGGGUUUAAAGGGUGCGCAGGCGGGAGAUCAAGUCAGCGGUAAAAUUGAGAGGCUCAACCUCUUCGAGCCGUUGAAACUGGUGUUCUUGAGUGAGUGAGAAGUAUGCGGAAUGCGUGGUGUAGCGGUGAAAUGCAUAGAUAUCACGCAGAACUCCGAUUGCGAAGGCAGCAUACCGGCGCUCAACUGACGCUCAUGCACGAAAGUGUGGGUAUCGAACAGGAUUAGAUACCCUAGUAGUC
rnacentral:rRNA from 1 species